AGUGGCGAACGGGUGAGUAACACGUGGGUGAUCUGCCCUGCACUCUGGGAUAAGCCUGGGAAACUGGGUCUAAUACCGGAUAGGACCACACACUUCAUGGUGAGUGGUGCAAAGCUUUUGCGGUGUGGGAUGAGCCCGCGGCCUAUCAGCUUGUUGGUGGGGUAAUGGCCCACCAAGGCGACGACGGGUAGCCGGCCUGAGAGGGUGACCGGCCACACUGGGACUGAGAUACGGCCCAGACUCCUACGGGAGGCAGCAGUGGGGAAUAUUGCACAAUGGGCGCAAGCCUGAUGCAGCGACGCCGCGUGAGGGAUGACGGCCUUCGGGUUGUAAACCUCUUUCAGUAGGGACGAAGCGAAAGUGACGGUACCUACAGAAGAAGGACCGGCCAACUACGUGCCAGCAGCCGCGGUAAUACGUAGGGUCCGAGCGUUGUCCGGAAUUACUGGGCGUAAAGAGCUCGUAGGUGGUUUGUCGCGUUGUUCGUGAAAACUCACAGCUUAACUGUGGGCGUGCGGGCGAUACGGGCAGACUAGAGUACUGCAGGGGAGACUGGAAUUCCUGGUGUAGCGGUGGAAUGCGCAGAUAUCAGGAGGAACACCGGUGGCGAAGGCGGGUCUCUGGGCAGUAACUGACGCUGAGGAGCGAAAGCGUGGGUAGCGAACAGGAUUAGAUACCCUGGUAGUCCACGCCGUAAACGGUGGGUACUAGGUGUGGGUUUCCUUCCUU
rnacentral:rRNA from 1 species